rnacentral:rRNA from 1 species
UGAGGGAUAUUGGGCAAUGGGGGAAACCCUGACCCAGCGACGCCGCGUGAGGGAAGACGGUCUUCGGAUUGUAAACCUCUGUCUUUGGGGACGAAAAAGGACGGUACCCAAGGAGGAAGCUCCGGCUAACUACGUGCCAGCAGCCGCGGUAAUACGUAGGGAGCGAGCGUUGUCCGGAAUUACUGGGUUGUGAAAGGGAGCGUAGGCGGGAAGGCAAGUUGGAUGUGAAAACUGUGGGCUCAACCGACAGACUGCAUUCAAAACUGUUUUUCUUGAGUGAAGUAGAGGCAAGCGGAAUUCCUAGUGUAGCGGUGAAAUGCGUAGAUAUUAGGAGGAACACCAGUGGCGAAGGCGGCUUGCUGGGCUUUUACUGACGCUGAGGCUCGAAAGUGUGGGGAGCAAACAGGAUUAGAUACC